rnacentral:rRNA from 1 species
CCUACGGGGGGCAGCAGUGAGGAAUAUUGGUCAAUGGACGAGAGUCUGAACCAGCCAAGUAGCGUGAAGGAUGACUGCCCUAUGGGUUGUAAACUUCUUUUAUAUGGGAAUAAAAUGUUCCACGUGUGGGAUUUUGUAUGUACCAUAUGAAUAAGGAUCGGCUAACUCCGUGCCAGCAGCCGCGGUAAUACGGAGGAUCCGAGCGUUAUCCGGAUUUAUUGGGUUUAAAGGGAGCGUAGGUGGAUUGUUAAGUCAGUUGUGAAAGUUUGCGGCUCAACCGUAAAAUUGCAGUUGAAACUGGCAGUCUUGAGUACAGUAGAGGUGGGCGGAAUUCGUGGUGUAGCGGUGAAAGGCUUAGAUAUCACGAAGAACUCCGAUUGCGAAGGCAGCUCACUGGACUGCAACUGACACUGAGGCUCGAAAGUGUGGGUAUCAAACAGGAUUAGAUACCCGUGUAGUC